UGGGGAAUUUUGGACAAUGGGCGAAAGCCUGAUCCAGCCAUGCCGCGUGAGUGAAGAAGGCCUUCGGGUUGUAAAGCUCUUUCGGCCGGGAAGAAAUCGCACGGGCUAAUACCCUGUGUGGAUGACGGUACCGGAAUAAGAAGCACCGGCUAACUACGUGCCAGCAGCCGCGGUAAUACGUAGGGUGCGAGCGUUAAUCGGAAUUACUGGGCGUAAAGCGUGCGCAGGCGGUUUAGUAAGACAGACGUGAAAUCCCCGGGCUCAACCUGGGAACUGCGCUUGUGACUGCUAAGCUAGAGUACGGCAGAGGGGGGUGGAAUUCCACGUGUAGCAGUGAAAUGCGUAGAUAUGCGGAGGAACACCGAUGGCGAAGGCAAUCCCCUGGACCUGUACUGACGCUCAUGCACGAAAGCGUGGGGAGCAAACA
rnacentral:rRNA from 1 species